rnacentral:rRNA from 1 species
CAGCAGCCGCGGGAAUACGAAGGGUGCAAGCGUUAAUCGGAAUUACUGGGCGUAAAGCGUGCGUAGGCGGUUUGUUAAGUCUGCUGUGAAAUCCCCGGGCUUAACCUGGGAAUGGCAGUGGAUACUGGCAAGCUAGAGUGUGUCAGAGGAUGGUGGAAUUCCCGGUGUAGCGGUGAAAUGCGUAGAGAUCGGGAGGAACAUCAGUGGCGAAGGCGGCCAUCUGGGACAACACUGACGCUGAGGCACGAAAGCGUGGGGAGCAAACAGGAUUAGAUACCCCCGUAGUCCCUGUCUCUUAUAC